AUUGAACGCUGGCGGCAUGCCUAACACAUGCAAGUCGAACGGCAGCACAGCAGUAGCAAUACUGUGGGUGGCGAGUGGCGGACGGGUGAGGAAUACGUCGGAAUCUGCCCAGUCGUGGGGGAUAACUAGCCGAAAGGUUAGCUAAUACCGCAUACGACCGAGAGGUGAAAGCGGGGGACCGCAAGGCCUCGCGCGAUUGGAUGAGCCGACGUCGGAUUAGCUAGUUGGCGGGGUAAAGGCCCACCAAGGCGACGAUCCGUAGCUGGUCUGAGAGGAUGAUCAGCCACACUGGAACUGAGACACGGUCCAGACUCCUACGGGAGGCAGCAGUGGGGAAUAUUGGACAAUGGGCGCAAGCCUGAUCCAGCAAUGCCGCGUGUGUGAAGAAGGCCUUCGGGUUGUAGAGCACUUUAUUCAGGAACGAAAAGACGUUAGGAUUAAUACUACUGACGUGCUGACGGUACCUGAGGAAUAAGC
rnacentral:rRNA from 1 species